GUUAUACUCCCUCCGUUCCAUAAUUCUUGUCGAAAUAUUACAUGUAUUUAGACGCUUUUUAGGAAUAGAUACAUUCAUAUUUGGGCAAAUUUGAGACAAGAAUUAUGGAACGGAGGGAGUACCUC
rnacentral:pre_miRNA from 1 species